AGGGAAAUAAUGGGUAAUCGUCGUUAAUUUUUAGUUCCGAGCAACGGAAAGAAUGAAACGAAUACUGCGGCCAUUGCGGAUCACGUUCUUAUUUACGAGGAUAAUGAAGGAGAUCGCAUGUUAGUGGGUGAUGUACCAUGGGAGAUGUUUGUUAGCACAGUGAAGAGGCUUAGGAUCAUCCAGAGCUCAGAAGCACCACCUGCACUAGGCAUUACAAGGACCUUAGAAAGGCAACAGGGCCCACCAGUGGAAGGAAGAUAAGAUGAGCCCACCAGUGGAAGGAAGAUAAUAUGAAUCAAUCAAUUAGUGCAGCUACAAGAAGCUUGGUUUUCAUUCGGAAGAGCACUCACUCCCCCUCUCUCUCUCUCUCUCUCUCUCUCUCUCUCUCAAUGCUUUAAGGUGAUUCAAAUUCCUUGGUUCUAGAGAAAUAGACCUAAGGGAAGGUGAUGUAUAAAAGAUGGUAUUGUCAUAGGUAUGGUGGAUCUUGUUCCCCUUACUUGAACUCUCCUUUGUAAACCUUUAUUGUUCUAUGAAUGUGACCUAUUUUGCCUACAUCGUUC